UCAUUAUUGUUAUUAUUGUGUAUUUUACAAAUGAUUUCAGAUUUAUGUCUCAGAUUAGGUGCCUGAAAUCACACUCAAUUUUAUCAAUGACUACCAUCUCUCAGCUUCUCUGCACUAGCACAAGAUGGGCCCAACAUCUCCUCCGUCUGCCUGGGUUCUCUCCUUCCCUUACUUUAUUCUCAGGAGCAUGCAGAAACCUAUCAGCAGAAGACAAAGCUAUGAUCCUGAAACCUUUACUCUCUGCAUGAUUGCGUACUUCUGGUUCCAUAUGAGGUGUGUGGCUGACCGGUCAAUUUGUAACGCUGGUGUUCGUAACUCUGAGGUUCGAUUGUACUGUAUUGGAGAUGGCAGAACAUCUAUGAAGAUAUAAGUUGCCCUCAUGUCCAAAGAAUUCAGCCUUGCAAAUUCAUCAUGGAAAUUUACUAGGCCAGAUGCACAAUCUGCUCACCCACCCUCGCUAUAAAGUUGACGAUGGAAAAUACUAAUGAGCCCAAUUCUCCAUCAGGAUAAAAGAAACUCCCUUUAGCUGCAUUGGGAAUUACUGUUGCCCUGCAGUGGAAGAAUAUAGCCCAAGAAUUUUCCCUACUCAUCCCCCCUUCCAAAUACCUAUCUCCCGCCCUCACCAAAAUGGGCAUGUGGAUGAAUGGGCCGUUUUUCAAGGUUGUUUUAUUUAGCCAAUUUGUUAAUCAAAAGUAAUUAACCAAUGUAAUUAAAUAAUGUUUUGUAUUCGAGAAUGAAGUCAUCUGAACAACCAAAUGUGAAAAGUUCCACCCAAUGUCAUUUAAAGCAAAUUAGUUAAUAAUCGGGUUUAUAAUCGGGAACUGAACUACUUUACAUGGCACCAUAGCAAGACUAUUGGAGUCUAGCUGGUGAGAGAGGGUAGGAAGGACAUAGGAGAGGAUUGCUUGUCACAUAAAAUAGGAGACAGGUGCUGGAGGAAAAAGCAAAGUCAAGGGACAUAGUAUCACGCUGUAAAAAAGAAAAAAAAAUCACAGGCAUAAUCUUUGUGUAACCCUUCUGCCUGUCAGAGUUGGCAGCAACAAGGGCCAGGUUCAAUACCUAGGGGAUCCAUUCCAAUAACACAAUGCAAACCGGCUCGAGCCCCCACCCAGUGACCUGGGACAAAUAUAUACCACCCCGCUGGGCGCCUCCAAGAGGCAAUACUUCCCCUCUCGCAAGCACAUAGUCUGAGUGUAGCAAAAAGCCUUUUAAUAACAGAGAGAAACAAUGUGGCAUUAUGUUGGGGAAACACCACCAACAGGAUUCAUAACACAACUCAUGAGCAAAAAAACCCACCCCAAGCAAAUUGGGGCAUGCCCCUUUCCCUUUGGUUCUUGAGUCCAGCAACCCCAAAUCACCCAAAGUCCCAAAAGUCCAAUGACCCAAAAGUCUCUGUCCCUGGUCAGGGCAGCCCCAGAGUUCGAAAGUUUAUCUGCGGAGCUUUACCUCCCAACCUGGGUGGAGAUGGGACGGGGGUAAGAGGCACCUUACAUGAUCUGAAGCUGACUGCCCCACAGCUCCAUAGGCCUUCGCUUCGCUCCGCCAGCCGCCCCACGAACUCCUUCGCUCAGCUUCGCAGCCCACAAGCAGCUCCCACCGUCCCACAAACUGCUCCGCAUCCCACCAGCAGCUCCCACCAUCCUACGAACUGCUCCACCAGCCUGUCCACAAGGCACUCCAGCCAUCCCGCAAACUGCUCCACAAUAUAUCUUCAGGCUCCCCCACUACUUAACACAAUGCUCAGUGAUUUCAGCUCUUAGUCAGUUCAGCUCUUUGGUGAAUUCAGCUUGCAGUAGAGGAGCCUCAGUGCUGGUGCACCAUUAGCCCAAAGUGAGCUCAGCAGCCUGUAACUAGACUCCUAAUAGAAUCAAAAUUAGCUCUAAUAUUCCACAGUGGAGAGAAGAGGAAAUGCAAUUAACAUGUAAGGCCCUCACCAAGAGGCCCAUGCCACCAAGUAUUAACACUUGUCCCCAGCCUCUCUCAAUUCACAGAGUUUUAAAACCCAUGACCCUUGCCUAGCGAGUGCUACUUAGUUGAUGGUGAGUCCCUCCAUCAUAACAAAAGGCCAAGUACAGUUCCAAGCACAGUUCCCAUAAUCAGGGUAAUAACAAUUUAUUCUUCCUGCCCCAAUAACAGAGACACUGGGGAUCCCACAGCAGCCAAAGUGACCAUUUGGGCAGCUAUGGCCUCAUUCUAGGCGGGGUGGGUGUGCCUAUGCAAAUGAGA